rnacentral:rRNA from 1 species
GCAAGUCGAGCGGUAACACAAGGGAGCUUAGCUCCUGAGGUGACGAGCGGCGGACGGGUGAGUAAUGCCUAGGGAUCUGCCCAGUCGAGGGGGAUAACAGUUGGAAACGACUGCUAAUACCGCAUACGCCCUACGGGGGAAAGGAGGGGACCUUCGGGCCUUUCGCGAUUGGAUGAACCUAGGUGGGAUUAGCUAGUUGGUGAGGUAAUGGCUCACCAAGGCGACGAUCCCUAGCUGUUCUGAGAGGAUGAUCAGCCACACUGGGACUGAGACACGGCCCAGACUCCUACGGGAGGCAGCAGUGGGGAAUAUUGCACAAUGGGCGAAAGCCUGAUGCAGCCAUGCCGCGUGUGUGAAGAAGGCCUUCGGGUUGUAAAGCACUUUCAGUAGGGAGGAAAGGGUAUUGCUUAAUACGCAAUAUCUGUGACGUUACCUACAGAAGAAGGACCGGCUAACUCCGUGCCAGCAGCCGCGGUAAUACGGAGGGUCCGAGCGUUAAUCGGAAUUACUGGGCGUAAAGCGUGCGCAGGCGGUUUGUUAAGCCAGAUGUGAAAUCCCCGGGACUCAACCCUGGGAAUUG